rnacentral:rRNA from 1 species
UACGGAGGGUGCAAGCGUUGUUCGGAAUUACUGGGCGUAAAGAGCGUGUAGGCGGCCUUGUAAGUCAGAUGUGAAAUCCCUUGGCUUAACCAAGGAAGUGCAUUUGAAACUGCAGGGCUUGAGUACGAGAGGGGGAAGCGGAAUUCCCGGUGUAGAGGUGAAAUUCGUAGAUAUCGGGAGGAACACCGGUGGCGAAGGCGGCUUCCUGGAUCGAUACUGACGCUGAGACGCGAAAGCGUGGGGAGCAAACAGG